rnacentral:rRNA from 1 species
GAUGAACGCUAGCGGCAGGCCUAACACAUGCAAGUCGAGGGGUAACUAGAGUGAUAGCAAUAUUACUUUGGCUAGACCGGCGCACGGGUGCGUAACACGUAUGCAACCUACCUUAUACUGGGGAAUAACUUCGAGAAAUCGGCGCUAAUACCCCAUAACAUUGCGAAGAGGCAUCUCUUUGCAAUUAAAGCUCCGGCGGUAUAAGAUGGGCAUGCGUCCAAUUAGCUAGUUGGUGAGGUAACGGCUCACCAAGGCUACGAUUGGUAGGGGUUCUGAGAGGAUGAUCCCCCACACUGGGACUGAGACACGGACCAGACUCCUACGGGAGGCGGCAGUGAGGAAUAUUGCGCAAUGGACGAAAGUCUGACGCAGCCAUGCCGCGUGCAGGAUGACGGCCCUAUGGGUUGUAAACUGCUUUUGUACGGGAAUAAACCCUUCUACGUGCAGGAGGCUGAAGGUACCGUAAGAAUAAGCACCGGCUAACUCCGUGCCAGCCGCCGCCGUAACAC